CAGCAGCCGCGGUAAUACGAAGGGUGCAAGCGUUACUCGGAAUUACUGGGCGUAAAGCGUGCGUAGGUGGUGGUUUAAGUCCGUUGUGAAAGCCCUGGGCUCAACCUGGGAAUUGCAGUGGAUACUGGGUCACUAGAGUGUGGUAGAGGAUAGUGGAAUUUCCGGUGUAGCAGUGAAAUGCGUAGAGAUCGGAAGGAACAUCUGUGGCGAAGGCGACUAUCUGGGCCAACACUGACACUGAGGCACGAAAGCGUGGGGAGCAAACAGGAUUAGAUACCCCCGUAGUCCCUGUCUCUUAUAU
rnacentral:rRNA from 1 species